rnacentral:rRNA from 1 species
CUAACGGAGAGUUUGAUCCUGGCUCAGGACGAACGCUGGCGGCGUGCCUAAUGCAUGCAAGUCGAACGAACUCGACCUUCGGGUCAUAUGAGUGAGUGGCGAACGGGUGAGUAACACGUGAGAAACCUGCCCCGAAGUUCGGAAUAACUCAGGGAAACUUGAGCUAAUACCGGAUGCCCUCUACGAAUCGAAUGGUUUGUAGAGGAAAGAUUCAUCGCUUCGGGAGGGUCUCGCGGCCUAUCAGCUAGUUGGUGAGGUAACGGCUCACCAAGGCAUUGACGGGUAGCUAGUCUGAGAGGACGAAUAGCCACACUGGGACUGAGACACGGCCCAGACUCCUACGGGAGGCAGCAGCAGGGAAUCUUGCACAAUGGACGAAAGUCUGAUGCAGCGACGCCGCGUGGGGGAUGAAGGCCCUAGGGUCGUAAACCCCUUUCAGUGGGGACGAAAAUGACGGUACCCACAGAAGAAGGUCCGGCCAACUACGUGCCAGCAGCCGCGGUAAGACGUAGGGACCGAGCGUUGUCCGGAAUUAUUGGGCGUAAAGAGCUCGUAGGCGGUUGCGUAAGUCGGAUGUGAAAACUCAGGGCUCAACCCUGAGACGCCAUCCGAUACUGCGCUGACUCGAAUCCAGUAGGGGAGUGUGGAAUUCCUGGUGUAGCGGUGAAAUGCGCAGAUAUCAGGAGGAACACCUAUGGCGAAGGCAGCACUCUGGGCUGGUAUUGACGCU